rnacentral:rRNA from 1 species
GACGAACGCUGGCGGCGUGCUUAACACAUGCAAGUCGAACGGAAAGGCCUGCUUUCCCUUGUGGAUUGCGGGUACUCGAGUGGCGAACGGGUGAGUAACACGUGAGUGAUCUGCCCCCAACUUGGGUAUAAGCCUGGGAAACUGGGUCUAAUUCCCGAUAGGACUGCAGGGUGGUGCCUGUGGUGGAAAACGAUUUUCUAGUGGUUGGGGAUGAGCUCGCGGCCUAUCAGCUUGUUGGUGGGGUAAUGGCCUACCAAGGCGGCGACGGGUAGCCGGCCUGGGAGGGUGGACGGCCACAUUGGGACUGGGAUACGGCCCAGACUCCUACGGGAGGCAGCAGUGGGGAAUAUGGCACAAUGGGCGGAAGCCUGAGGCAGCGACGCCGCGGGGGGGAUGACGGCCUUCGGGUUGUAAACUCCUUUCGACCGCGAGGAAGCCACCUGGUUGGAAGGGUGGUGACGGUAGUGGGAGAAGAAGCACCGGCUAACUACGUG